rnacentral:tRNA from 1 species
GGGAGCCAUGGCUCAGUGGUAGAGCAUCUGCAUGGCAUGUAGAAGGUUCCAGGUUCAAUUCCUGGCACUGCCA